rnacentral:rRNA from 1 species
GAUGAACGCUAGCGGCAGGCUUAACACAUGCAAGUCGAGGGGCAGCACGUCUUCGGAUGGUGGCGACCGGCGCACGGGUGCGUAACGCGUAUAGAACCUACCUUUUACAGGGGAAUAGCCCCAGAGAAAAUUUUGGAUUAAUGCCCCCAUAGUAUUAUUAGAUGGCAUCAUUUGAUAAUUAAACAUUUAUGGGUAAAAGAUGGCUAUGCGUUCUAUUAGCUAGAUGGUAAGGUAACGGCUUACCAUGGCGACGAUAGAUAGGGGGUCCUGAGAGGGAGAUCCCCCCACACUGGGUACUGAGACACGGACCCAGACUCCCUACGGGAGGCAGCAGUGAG